UGAAAUGCACUGAACCUUUUUUUAGCUUUCAACUGAACUUGAUUGCAAAGUUGGGGAAGAAGACUGCAACAUUUUCAUGUGGUUUCCAACACAUAACCCUGAAAUCAUCGGAGAGAUCCAGCUUGACUCAAGGGAAGCUUCUGUACUUCCAGCAAGGCUGAUAAAUUACCUGAAAUUUGGACAAUCCGUUCUUGGAGGAAGAAAAUAAAGCGCUAAAUUGUCAAAUCAGGUGGAAUUCAGGGCAGCUUCUAGGACACCAGGAGAAAAUCAAAUCUUUAGAUUCCAGCCAUGCGACUUUAUGGUGUGAAUCUGGGUUUGCUUCUGUUUUUCUCUGGCAUCUUGAGAUCAGGAUGGACCAUUCCAUUAGAAAAUCUGGAGAAAAUCCCCCUGGAUUUCUCCACUAACAACAGCAUGCUUCUCACCACCUUCAUGGGCAGCAAUUUUAUUAUUAACGUUCCAAAAUGUGUGUCUUCCUCCAAGUUUAAGUCAACCAAAGUCAGAGUAGCAGUGGCUCAACUUCCAGAUGCAUCCACUUUACCAGGU
rnacentral:lncRNA from 1 species